rnacentral:misc_RNA from 1 species
GUUUGCUCCGAUAUGAGAUCUAGAGUUGUUUGCUGGCUUCAAAGACGCAAGGGAUAUCCAACCGAGAAUAAUAAUGCAAAAAGUUCCAUGAAUGUUUUAUUCAAAACUUCAGAUCACAAGGAGGCAUAAGUAUGAAAUCAGGUUAAUCCAUCAUGACCAAAUGCAUUCUUCAAGCAUUCAAUCAUAUGAUCAGUAUCCAGCAUAAGGCCAACAAUAAAUGGUUUGUACUUUGUACCAACUUAAAUGGUAGUUGCAAGACAGGUGAAUGUUCAUGCUAGGCAUUACUCAUAUGAUGAGUUAGACAAUCCCAACCAACCCCUGUGCCUCGGGUUACUUAAUCGCUCCCUCCUCUUCACUUUGUUUCAAACAAAAACUACCAUAACAUCAAUAUUUCACCAUUACAAUUCAGAACUAAUGCACCAAAAGGAGCAAGGAAGGGAAUAAGGAAAGAAAAGGGGGGGAGAGGGGGUGUGGUGGUUCUUAACAUUCUGUACAACACAGCAAAGACUAAUAUUAUUUAUCAACAAGCUCCAAGAAACUCUCAACACUGAAGAAAUUUCUCUAAAGCCUCUUUCCACAACAAUCUUCAAUGGAACCAGAGAGAGAAAAAAAAAUAAACACAAAAAUGCAAACAAGAGAAUCCCAUGAGAAAAUCAAUCACAAAACAAAAAGGUGCGCUGCAUGCACAGUUUGUGCAUGUAAAUAAUACAAUAGCAUUUGAGUUGCUGUAAAAGUACCAGUAUACCAAGGCAGCUCUGAUG